GGAGUGCAGUGCCACUUUGGCUUCCAGUUUCUGCCGGGGUCCUUCUGCUUACGAUUCUAGUUGGUGUUUUUAUCUGGAAAUGGAAAAGGAGAUCCGAGGAAGAUAAGAAACAUAAAAAGAAGAACGAUUAUAUGACCGCUGACACACAGAUGCUUUUAUCUGAAGUGACUUACAGUGCCUUCAUGUGAUCUGCCAAGUGAAGCCUACACCAAUUUACACAGAGAUGAAUCAUCACCACACAACCAAUCAAAAGUUUAGAGGCACUGUUUAAUAAUAUCUUUUAAUAAUAAACUCAUCAGAACUGUAGGAUAGCACAAAUGUAACACAUGAAAGUAUUUUGUAAUUAAUCAAAUAACUCAAAACUGUUACUUUGCCUAGAA